GACGAACGCUGGCGGCGUGCUUAACACAUGCAAGUCGAACGGAAAGGCCCCUUUGGGGGUCCUCGAGUGGCGAACGGGUGAGUAACACGUGAGUAACCUGCCCUUGACUUCGGGAUAACUUCAGGAAACUGGGGCUAAUACCGGAUAGGAAUCCUUGCUGCAUGGUGGGGGUUGGAAAGCUUCGGCGGUUUUGGAUGGACUCGCGGCUUAUCAGCUUGUUGGUGGGGUAGUGGCUUACCAAGGCUUUGACGGGUAGCCGGCCUGAGAGGGCGACCGGCCACAUUGGGACUGAGAUACGGCCCAGACUCCUACGGGAGGAAGCAGUGGGGAAUAUUGCACAAUGGGCGGAAGCCUGAUGCAGCAACGCCGCGUGCGGGAUGACGGCCUUCGGGUUGUAAACCGCUUUCAGCAGGGGCGAAGCUUGUGGUGACGGUACCUGCAGAAGAAGCACCGGCUAACUACGUG
rnacentral:rRNA from 1 species